GGGUUUAUAGCUUAAUGGUUAAAGCAGACUACUCAUAAUGGUUUUAUUGUAGGUUCGAAUCCUACUAGACCCA
rnacentral:tRNA from 1 species